rnacentral:tRNA from 1 species
UAGUUUAGUGGUAAAACAUUGCUCUCUAGCAGUAAAGAUCCGAGUUCAAGUCUCCG